CUAGGAUGCUGACGAGCGGCGGACGGGUGAGUAAUGCAUAGGAAUCUGCCCGAUAGUGGGGGAUAACCUGGGGAAACCCAGGCUAAUACCGCAUACGUCCUACGGGAGAAAGGGGGCUCCGGCUCCCGCUAUGGGAUGAGCCUAUGUCGGAUUAGCUAGUUGGUGAGGUAACGGCUCACCAAGGCCACGAUCCGUAGCUGGUCUGAGAGGAUGAUCAGCCACAUCGGGACUGAGACACGGCCCGAACUCCUACGGGAGGCAGCAGUGGGGAAUAUUGGACAAUGGGGGAAACCCUGAUCCAGCCAUGCCGCGUGUGUGAAGAAGGCCCUCGGGUUGUAAAGCACUUUCAGCGAGGAAGAACGCCUAACGGUUAAUACCCGCUAGGAAAGACAUCACUCGCA
rnacentral:rRNA from 1 species